UUAAAAAUCUUCUCAAAGGUUGCAAAGGAGACCCCACAGCUGCGCUGGAAGUGCUGGGAUGAGACGCGGCUGGCACUGUUUCCCCCGAGGGCCGGGACCCAGCAGUGAGCUCCCCGCGGAGGGGGUCCAGACACGACUCGGAGGGGAUCGGCCCUCGGGGCCUGUGCGUUUCUGCGAGGCGGCCUCCAUGCCGCUCUGUCUGACCACUUGACCCCAGACCUGUUGCUGCCCUUGGGAUUCCAGUGCUUUGAGCAAAAGCUGACAGCAGUGUGGUGAUUCUUGUGAUGAAUGUGCUCAUUUGAAAAUAUCAAUUCAAGAGGUCAGCCUGAGAAUCUCGAAGACUUCCUCCUGCAGAUUACUUCCAGGUGAAACGACCCUCUGGGAAUGAAGAACGGUCUUCACAGCAAGGAGCCGCUAACAUUUCUGCGUUUGAGAAGAAGAGCAAGCAUUAAACCAUAAAAUGUUCCUGGCUAAGGAAACAGAAGAAAAAGGCCUGCGCUAGCAGCAUUCCCCGCGCUCAUAAAUACCAAGCCGUGUUCCUAGGUGACCAGAGAAAACACGUGGGGACAGGAGAAGAUUUCUGGGGGCAU